AAGAAAAAAAUCAAAAGCCCUUUUCGGGUUGGGGAAGAAUUGGGGCGGGGGGGGGGCAAUGUAGAGACCCAAGUAGGGUCUCUACAUUGAAACCAAAGAAAUCAGGAGGAGAGUGAGACUUCCUUCCUUCCUUCUUCGAGGAUUUCUCCCUUGAAUCACCGCUUAGGCAGGCCCCCCGAUCAGAUUUGUUGAAGCAAGGGCUGGAAAGAGCAGCUGGCGGCAGCAAUCUGAUGAAGAAACAAAGGAAUGCCCCGCCGAUUCUGGGAUCCCAGCUCACUGCCUAUAUUUCUGAGGAUGAUGAUGGAAGUUGCUGCCUGUUUCUUCUGGAAGAGGCUGGAAUUGGGAAGGAUGGUUGUUUUAGUCCAAUAUCAAGGGAAAGGUUCCCACCAGUCAAUGAGUCAUUAUAGAAUCAGUACCUCAAUUCCGCUUUGCAGACCUAAUCGAGAAAUCUGUGCUGCGUCAAUUUAACAAAUCCUUGAGAGCGAAGGCAGGUUAGUCAAAAAGGAAUGUCAAAUGAAUCUCCAGAAAGUCUGGCUUCUAAGAUCAAAUCACCAUGGAUCCUAAAUCUACUAUGCCUUUAUUCUACAACACCCCUGACUUAACUGACCUAGGAAAAGAUGCCACCAUAGCACAUUUCUCCAGCCUGGCAAAUGUCUAUGAAAAACAGAUAAAGAGGGUUUCUCUUGCACAAGAGGGCAUGUUUUGCACAAGGGUCUUUGGUAUUAAUGAGAUCCAGAAGAGUGGUUUUUAUCUUUUGUAUUCCAGUUCCACUUCCUUUUGAUAGCACCCCUGGUGAGAGAAAUGCUUCUGGCUCAGUUUUUUGGAGGAAUUUCCAAUAUAUUUCUUAGCUGUUGUAGACUGUAUACUUAUUGUAUGGUAGUUUCUUAGGAAAAUUGCCUCAAAGGCUAAUAAGGAACCUAAAGCGUUUGAGGAACUAAUCUUACCCUGUUUACAAUCCCUGAAGACAACUGCUACAAUGAAAUCUCUGAGCUUUUACAAAAACUGCGAAUAAUUGAGAGUAACAGAAUAAUAAUGUUACUUCAAUGUAUAAAACUAAUUACAGAUGAAUAGAUGAUACUCCUUGUUUAAAUAAAUUUUUUCAUGAAUCAGUGGUAUAAAAUUAAAAUAUGUGUCCAAACUCGAAAAACUUGCCAACACUGCAACCCUAAAUGAGAUACUACAGGAUUUCACCCAAUGGGUUCAAGAAGAAGUGCUGCCCAGGGCCUAUUUUAACUUACUUAAAGUAGUUAAAAGAAUUUUCUUUCUAAACAAGUUGCAUCAGACCAAGAAUGUAAUGCAACCACAAUUAUUUUCUUCAGAAAACAUUUACAUUUGCAAUAUACAACUACAAACAUAUCUGCUGUUUUGCUAUCCUGAGCAGCAAAGUAUCAUUUAUAUUUCUGUGGAAAUGCACUUACCCAGGCAUACCGUACUUUAAUUUAUUACACACUCAGAUUCCCUUCUGUUUUUUCACAGGCAUUUUCCCCUCUCAUUUUAGAUCAAUCUGUCUGCCAUAUACAUCUUGUCCAUCAGUACUCCCCAUCCAGAUGCUCUUGUUCAUCCCCAUCAACUUGUAGGCCAAUAUACAUGA